UUGCUACACAGAGUUGAUACUGAUAUGAAAGUAUUACAGCUCCUUAAAUCCAGUCAAACCACAAAUCAGCAUCAUGCGCCUCUUCAAUCAGGAAAGGCUCAACAGCCACCCGAGGAGUAAAACUUUCACUGGCUUUUCCUGCUUCUGUCCGCAUCAGGUGUUUCUAGCACUUUGGCCAUGGCAGCCAGUUUACUGGCAGCAUUGAUGAUUUUCUUCUCAGCACUGGGUUUUAAAGAGGCAGAUAACCAAAAUUUGAUGAGGCAAAAAACAUCCAAGCAGCACAGAGGCUAAAGGAAACUCUUGCCACUCUUACCCGUUGGUCUGGCCCCCCUCCUCCAGGAGCUCCUGCAGGCAGCAGCUUCUCUCUGCUCCUGGACCUCCUUCAGAACCUCCUUUAACUCGGCCAGCACCUCCUCCAUCGACUGCUGCCGUUCUUCCCGCAACCUCAAAAAACAGCGUUUCCCACCGUUCACGCUCUGACUGCAAACUGGCUUUGUACUCUGGGAGGGAGAACAUCUCUUGGAGCCAGCGAUUAUGAGCUCUAGACACAGCCCUUUCAACCUGCAAAGGGGACAGAGGAGGAACGAGCACGGUGAUAUUCCAAGAUUUUACACAAACAUUAUGUUACACAAUAACAUGCGUUUUUGUGGUCAUGGUAAAAGUGCAAAAACAAGGCACUCUGUAUUUCAUGACCAUUGGAGUAGGCUAGUGGUUCUCAAACUGGGGAGGGGGUGCACAGAAAUUCUAUAACAUUAUUAUAUAUAAAAUGUAUAAAUAAAAUAUUUUCCCUGUAA